GGAGAGGUGCCCGGAGUGGCCGAUCGGGGACCACGUGCACGCUGGUCGGGCCCAACAGCCCACGCAGGUUCAAAUCCUGCCCUCUCCGCCA
rnacentral:tRNA from 2 species